UACGUAGGUGGCAAGCGUUGUCCGGAUUUACUGGGCGUACAGGGAGCGUAGGCGGUUGGAUAAGCCCUCCGUGAAAUCUCCAGGCUUAACCUGGAAAGUGCAGAGGAGACUGUUCAGCUAGAGGAUGGGAGAGGAGCGCGGAAUUCCCGGUGUAGCGGUGAAAUGCGUAGAGAUCGGGAGGAAGGCCGGUGGCGAAGGCGGCGCUCUGGAACAUUUCUGACGCUGAGGCUCGAAAGCGUGGGGAGCAAACAGG
rnacentral:rRNA from 1 species